CACAGAGAUACCCGCCUCCCCUCCCGCCCCUUCCCUCUAGGGCUCUCCUCCUCUCCCUCCCCACAGCCCCCCGCCCGUGCCGAGAGAGGAGAGACGAGGUCCUGGCCUUUUCCAUCAGGCGGACAGCGGGCAGCCCCGGCCCGGGGUCCUCACGGGAGCUAUAAAUACCGAGGCCCCAGCACGGACCGCGCCACGUGGAGCAGAGCGGGGCUGGUUGGGGCCACGUGCGGGCUGGUGAGCGCUGCUCAGCAGUGACCCCGCCAUGGACAAGUGGUGGGGUGCCCAGGCGGGGCUGCUGUCCCUGGGGAGAUCCCCACCGUGAUCUGACCUGGGGGAGGCUGGAGGAAUGGAGCUGUGAUACUGCCCUGCAGAGAUCGGUGGGCACUGGGGUGCAGUGAGCCCCCUGGCUGGUGCCAAGACCCCACAUGUGCUGAGGAGCCAGGAUUCCUGGGUUCUUUUCCCAGCUGCCCCUGCCCCUGGCCUUGAGCCCUGCUGAUCGGGGGUGUGGGGUUCACGUACUCUUCUUGCUGAUGCACCUGCAGCUGUUGCCCCUGUCCUGCCAAUAAAGUCAUGUUAGUCUGAAUGGA